CUACAAAAUCCCUUCAACAUUUUGUGUGUGAAAAGCCAGCUUUUCACCUUGGGUAUUAAACAAUCGAGCUUGUGGUUCUCAAACAACACUGGUUCCAUUGUGAACUGUGCAUUGUGAUUGUGCAAACAGAGCAAAAUGCUUCCAUUAACUUUGUGUAUCAAGUACUUGAUAAAUACUAAAUUUUCGUAGAUUACAUUCUAAAUUAGACUCCUCAAAUUUUCAAAUACAGUGUAUAAAAUUGCGUUG